rnacentral:siRNA from 1 species
GCAAAGCCGAUCUUCUUGCCUAUA